rfam:Triticum aestivum genome assembly, contig: Triticum_aestivum_CS42_TGACv1_scaffold_114436_2AS
CACGUACUCCCUUCAUCCGGAAAUACUUGUUAUUGAAAUGGAUGUAUCUAGAUGUAUUUUAGUUCUAAAUACAUUCAUUUUCAUCCAUUUUGAUGACAAGUAGUUUCAGACGGAGGGAGUAAUAG